rnacentral:misc_RNA from 1 species
GAGAAGAACGUAGCGAAAUGCGAUAAGUAAUGUGAAUUGCAGAAUUCAGUGAAUCAUCGAAUCUUUGAACGCAUCUUGCGCUCCUUGGUAUUCUGAGGAGCAUGCCUGUUUGAGUGUCAUUAAAUUCUCAACUACACUGACUUUGAAUUGGUGUGGCUUGGAUUUGGGGGGAAAAUUGUUGUGGGCUUUUUGUAUAGUCUGCUCCCCUGAAAUUGAUUAGCGGUACCUUUGUGGAACUGUCUACAGGUGUGAUAAUUAUCUACAUCUUAGACAUCUGCUGGAAUGCUGCUUUCUAAACCUUACUUGUAUUGACAAUCUUGACCUCAAAUCAGGUAGGACUACCCGCUGAACUUAAGCAUAUCAAUAAGCGGAGGA